UGGCCGAAAAAUUUCCUCGUCCUGCUAUCUGCAAGUCGAACGCUUUGUGGUUCAACUGAUUUGAAGAGCUUGCUCAGAUAUGACGAUGGACAUUGCAAAGAGUGGCGAACGGGUGAGUAACACGUGGGAAACCUACCUCUUAGCAGGGGAUAACAUUUGGAAACAGAUGCUAAUACCGUAUAACAAUGACAACCGCAUGGUUGUUAUUUAAAAGAUGGUUCUGCUAUCACUAAGAGAUGGUCCCGCGGUGCAUUAGCUAGUUGGUAAGGUAAUGGCUUACCAAGGCGAUGAUGCAUAGCCGAGUUGAGAGACUGAUCGGCCACAAUGGGACUGAGACACGGCCCAUACUCCUACGGGAGGCAGCAGUAGGGAAUCUUCCACAAUGGGCGAAAGCCUGAUGGAGCAACGCCGCGUGUGUGAUGAAGGGUUUCGGCUCGUAAAACACUGUUGUAAGAGAAGAAUGACAUUGAGAGUAACUGUUCAAUGUGUGACGGUAUCUUACCAGAAAGGAACGGCUAAAUACGUGCCAGCAGCCGCGGUAAUACGUAUGUUCCAAGCGUUAUCCGGAUUUAUUGGGCGUAAAGCGAGCGCAGACGGUUAUUUAAGUCUGAAGUGAAAGCCCUCAGCUCAACUGAGGAAUUGCUUUGGAAACUGGGAUGACUUGAGUGCAGUAGAGGAAUGGGAACUCCAUGUUGUAGCGGUGAAAUGCGUAGAUAUAUGGAAGAACAACCAGUGGCGAAGGCGGCUUUCUGGACUGUAACUGACGUGAGGCUCGAAAGUGUGGGUAGCAAACAGGAUUAGAUACCCUGGUAGUCCACACCGUAAACGAUGAGUGCUAGGUGUUGAGGGUUUCCGCCCUUAAGUGCCGCAGCUAACGCAUUAAGCACUCCGCCUGGGGAGUACGACCGCAAGGUUGAAACUCAAAGGAAUUGACGGGGACCCGCACAAGCGGUGGAGCAUGUGGUUUAAUUCGAAGCAACGCGAAGAACCUUACCAGGUCUUGACAUCCCUUGACAACUCCAGAGAUGGAGCGUUCCCUUCGGGGACAAGGUGACAGGUGGUGCAUGGUUGUCGUCAGCUCGUGUCGUGAGAUGUUGGGUUAAGUCCCGCAACGAGCGCAACCCUUAUUACUAGUUGCCAGCAUUCAGUUGGGCACUCUAGUGAGACUGCCGGUGACAAACCGGAGGAAGGUGGGGAUGACGUCAAAUCAUCAUGCCCCUUAUGACCUGGGCUACACACGUGCUACAAUGGCGUAUACAACGAGUUGCCAACCCGCGAGGGUGAGCUAAUCUCUUAAAGUACGUCUCAGUUCGGAUUGUAGGCUGCAACUCGCCUACAUGAAGUCGGAAUCGCUAGUAAUCGCGGAUCAGCACGCCGCGGUGAAUACGUUCCCGGGUCUUGUACACACCGCCCGUCACACCAUGAGAGUUUGUAACACCCAAAGCCGGUGGGGUAACCUUCGGGAGCCAGCCGUCUAAGGUGGGACAGAUGAUUAGUGGGAAGUCGACACGAGUGGGUCGGGA
rnacentral:rRNA from 1 species